AAAGAUGUUUGCUGAGGUUUGGAUCCUUUGGGUUUGAAUUGGAAUCUUGCAGCCGCUGCUUGACUGAAGAAUAUUAUUUACUAUAUGGCCCAUAUUCCAGCCCCCACUAGAGGCCCUGAAUAAUCUGCCAAACCAUCAGGAUUUACAAACCUGCCUACCACUCCACCGGCGCCUGCUGAUGCUGUGCACUUAUGAUCCUGCUCGUGCCGAUGCUUUAGGCAAUAGUUUUGACGACAAGAUUCACAACGCACUUUGAUUAACUACAAAAGAGCAGACAGAUUUCCUCAGCCACCUAUCACAACUACCGCAAAACUUUAGGGAGCCUAGGUUGGGCAUUUACUGUAUUCAUUCAUGUAUAAUAUGCAGUUUGAGGUCAAUAAAAAAAAAGAAGUGUGUUGAAAAA